UCGAGGAUCUUCGGCAAUGGGCGCAAGCCUGACCGAGCGACGCCGCGUGGACGAUGAAGGCCUUCGGGUUGUAAAGUCCUGUCGAGGGGGAUAAAGCCGCAAGGUUGAUAGAUCCCUGGAGGAAGCACGGGCUAAGUUCGUGCCAGCAGCCGCGGUAAGACGAACCGUGCGAACGUUGUUCGGAAUCACUGGGCUUAAAGGGCGCGUAGGCGGCUUGCCAAGUCAGUGGUGAAAUCCUCCGGCUUAACCGGAGAAGUGCCAUUGAUACUGGCGAGCUCGAGGGAGGUAGGGGCAGCUGGAACUUCUGGUGGAGCGGUGAAAUGCGUUGAUAUCAGAAGGAACGCCGGUGGCGAAAGCGAGCUGCUGGAUCUCUACUGACGCUGAGGCGCGAAAGCUAGGGGAGCAAACGGGAUUAGAUACCCCUGUAGUCC
rnacentral:rRNA from 1 species